rnacentral:lncRNA from 1 species
CGAGAAAUCUCCAAAAUAGCUUUUUCUUAUUUUGGCAUGGCUCGUUAGCAUUCUGAUUCAAAACACCAAAAUCCUUAGUAGUCUUAAAUCUUGAAUUCUAAUACCAUACCAGUCACAAUCAUACCCCUAGAAUGGUUGUGUAUUAGCCCUAACUUCUCUCUUUUUGUUGCUCAUUGUCACCUAUCAAAAUAUUUGUGUCAAACAAUUUUCGUGAUUGACCGAUGAUACGACUAAUAAAAUCUUUUCUUGCUUUCCAAUUAUGCGGAAUCUCACCGAAUGAGACUUAACUACCCAUUCCCUUAUUAAAACUUAAAAUUUUUACUCAUGAUUAACCUAUUGCUCUGAUACCACGAGAUGUCACGCCCCGGAUCCGGAUCCGUGACACGGCCGUGCUAUUGCCGACUACUGCCCACAAUAGCACGCAGCCUCGUACAUGGUCAACAGGUAGUCAAAAGCAGUGUAACUUGUAUAUAUCAAAAUGAGGUAUUACAACCCACUGGUUCAUAUAAAGUACAGAGCUUCUACAUAGUUUAUAUACACAAAAGUUUAUUUAUAUCAUCCCCAAAAAUAAAGAAGCCCUGUUGCAAAAGAAAAAUGCUUCUGGCAGCUGUCACUGGUCGUGAUCUAAAAAAAAACGUAAAUGAACAAGNNNNNNNNNNNNNNNNNNNNCUAACUGGGCCUACUUCUUAUUGGGCCUAGUAGGUUGUGGGCCCGGACAUUACAUCCUACCCCCCUUAAAAUAAAUUUCGUCCUCGAAAUUAAACAUACCU